rnacentral:rRNA from 1 species
UUUCCUACGGGGGGCUGCAGUGGGGAAUUUUGGACAAUGGGGGCAACCCUGAUCCAGCCAUGCCGCGUGAGUGAAGAAGGCCUUCGGGUUGUAAAGCUCUUUCGGCCGGGAAGAAAUCGCAUGGGCUAAUACCCUGUGUGGAUGACGGUACCGGAAUAAGAAGCACCGGCUAACUACGUGCCAGCAGCCGCGGUAAUACGUAGGGUGCGAGCGUUAAUCGGAAUUACGGGGCGUAAAGCGUGCGCAGGCGGGUUUGUAAGACAGGCGUGAAAUCCCCGGGCUUAACCUGGGAACUGCGCUUGUGACUGCAGGGCUAGAGUACGGCAGAGGGGGGUGGAAUUCCACGUGUAGCAGUGAAAUGCGUAGAGAUGUGGAGGAACACCAAUGGCGAAGGCAGCCCCCUGGGUCGAUACUGACGCUCAUGCACGAAAGCGUGGGUAGCAAACAGGAUUAGAUACCCUAGUAGUC